rnacentral:lncRNA from 11 species
GCGGAGGAUGCCGAUGGGGACACCCUCAUGUACGUCAUUGACAGCACAUCGGCCGAUGCCAGGUACUUCCGGAUCGACCUGCCCAACAGCGGAAAGAUCGUCCUGGCCAGAACAUUGGAUUUUGAGACCAAGAG